ACAAUGAAGAGUUUGAUCCUGGCUCAGGAUGAACGCUAGCGGCAGGCUUAAUACAUGCAAGUCGAACGGUAACAUGGUAGCAAUACUGAUGACGAGUGGCGCACGGGUGCGUAACGCGUAUGCAAUCUACCCAUAACUGGGGGAUAGCCCAGAGAAAUCUGGAUUAAUACCCCAUAAGAUAUUAAAAUGGCAUCAUAAAGAUAUUAAAGAUUAAUUGGUUAUGGAUGAGCAUGCGUAACAUUAGUUAGUUGGUGAGGUAAAGGCUCACCAAGACGAUGAUGUUUAGGGGUUCUGAGAGGAAAAUCCCCCACACUGGUACUGAGACACGGACCAGACUCCUACGGGAGGCAGCAGUAAGGAAUAUUGGUCAAUGGGCGAGAGCCUGAACCAGCCAUGCCGCGUGCAGGAAGACGGCCUUAUGGGUUGUAAACUGCUUUUAUGCCGGAAAAAACCCCUAUACGUGUAUAGGGUUGAUUGUACGGUAAGAAUAAGGAUCGGCUAACUCCGUGCCAGCAGCCGCGGUAAUACGGAGGAUCCGAGCGUUAUCCGGAUUUAUUGGGUUU
rnacentral:rRNA from 1 species